CAGUCGCCGCGGGAAUACGAAGGGGGCUAGCGUUGCUCGGAAUGACUGGGCGUAAAGGGCGCGUAGGCGGUUUGUACAGUCGGAUGUGAAAUUCCUGGGCUUAACCUGGGGGCUGCAUUCGAUAAGUGCAGGCUUGAGUGUGGAAGAGGGUUGUGGAAUUCCCAGUGUAGAGGUGAAAUUCGUAGAUAUUGGGAAGAACACCGGUGGCGAAGGCGGCAACCUGGUCCAUGACUGACGCUGAGGCGCGAAAGCGUGGGGAGCAAACAGGAUUAGAUACCCCCGUAGUCCCUGUCUCUUAUAC
rnacentral:rRNA from 1 species